UGAAUCCGCGCGGGAGAGUCCCCGGCAGCUGUGCUCACCGGGGCGCCGAAGGAGCAAGUCCCUCCCUUGAAUCUCUCAGGCCCCGUUACCGCGCGGGCGAG
rnacentral:ncRNA from 2 species